rnacentral:rRNA from 1 species
UACGUAGGGUGCAAGCGUUGUCCGGAAUUAUUGGGCGUAAAGAGCUCGUAGGCGGUCUGUCGCGUCUGCUGUGAAAACUCGGGGCUUAACCCCGGGCCUGCAGUGGGUACGGGCAGACUAGAGUGCGGUAGGGGAGACUGGAAUUCCUGGUGUAGCGGUGAAAUGCGCAGAUAUCAGGAGGAACACCGGUGGCGAAGGCGGCAUCCUGGACCGGCAUUGACGCUGAGGCGCGAAAGCCAGGGGAGCAAACGGG